rnacentral:tRNA from 1 species
GGGGUUGUAGCUCAGCUGGGAGAGCGCUAGCAUGGCAUGUUAGAGGUCGCGAGUUCGAUCCUCGUCAACUCCACCA